AAAACCUUUAUUAUUUGCUCCACCCCACAACUGCCUCACAAAGCAUCCCAGCGUCCAGGCAGCAGACAGCAGAGGAGACUGCCAGCAGACCAUCUUGAAGGGGAUGCUUGGGGCUGCCAAGUGUGUGAUUCAAAGAUUAAUUCCAUGUGUUUGGAGAAGAAGCCCUAGCCUCAAAACAAACGUUGGCCACCUUCCAGCCAAGGUAGCACGGAGUGAAGGCCCAUGGAGGGACAGCUGGGCUUUUCUGAAUUACUUUGGUAUACCUACUGUGCCUCAGCCUGCCAUGUUUCAUCCCCACGGCUGUCCUCAGUGGUGUGCAUGGUCACUGCUCCCUUCACCACUGAGAAGACAGGCACAGGACAGUCAGCGGACGUGUCCAAGGUCCCACAUCAGGAAGGGCUGGAGCCAGAAUGUGGUCUGAGACGCUGGCUAUACAAAGAGACAAUGGUGUGACCAUUGUACAUAUGGAACUCUGGCCCACGACCUGCAGCAGCCAGCCCAGAAAGCCAACACGUCACCUGCAGCAGCCAGGCUGGACGCUGGCCUGCCCUCGGGUGCCCUUGUUGGAGAACAUGGGAGGCCAAAAUCCAAACAUGGCAAGAGAUAACAAAUGACUUGUCUGGUGGCUGAACCCUGAGCUGGGAGCACUGCCUGGAGAAAACUCUGAUAGUCAGGUCUAGUUCCAUGUGGCUCCAAACGCCCUCACUAUGAGCUCAAGACAGUGACUGACUGAAAAACCCUCUCUAUUACAAACCACAACACUGAACCCCACAUCCCCCUAAGUAGAUUGUACUCACAUCAUUGGUCUUAUGGGGAAACGUUAAGACCUCCCACUUAUAAGGUUUUAUAGCCCUCCAUGGAAUGUUGAAGAAAGAGCAAAAUGCAUCC